GAUGAACGCUGGCGGCGUGCUUAACACAUGCAAGUCGAACGAUGAAAGCGGGAGCUUGCUCCUGCUGGAUUAGUGGCGAACGGGUGAGUAACACGUGAGCAAUCUGCCCCGAACUCUGGGAUCAGCGUUGGAAACGACGUCUAAUACCGGAUACGACGCGCGCAGGCAUCUUCUGCGCGUGGAAAGCACUUCGGUUCGGGAUGAGCUCGCGGCCUAUCAGCUAGUUGGUGGGGUAACGGCCCACCAAGGCGACGACGGGUAGCCGGCCUGAGAGGGUGACCGGCCACACUGGGACUGAGACACGGCCCAGACUCCGACGGGAGGCAGCAGUGGGGAAUAUUGCACAAUGGGCGCAAGCCUGAUGCAGCAACGCCGCGUGAGGGACGACGGCCUUCGGGUUGUAAACCUCUUUUAGUAGGGAAGAAGCGAAAGUGACGGUACCUGCAGAAAAAGCACCGGCUAACUACGUGCCAGCAGCCGCCGUAACAC
rnacentral:rRNA from 1 species